rnacentral:rRNA from 1 species
AUGGACGCAAGUAGCGAAUUUAACUUGGUGCAAGCUGCAAGGGGAAGGAAAGUUGCACUUGGAGCAAAACUGGAUUCGCGAAAGAUUACCAAAAGGGAUUCUCCAAUUGAUCAGAAAUCCAGAGCCCAAUGGAAUCUAGAACUUGAAAAGGCUUUGGUGAAGAUACUUCUUCAGCACAAUACUCCUUAUCACCGAGGGCGGAAUGGUGAAAUUUGGAAUAUGAUAGUUGGAAUAUUCCAUGCUAGACAUAGUUAUGUCAAAUUCUCAAAGUCCCAAGUUCAAGAGAAGGAAAAGGAAUUGAAGAGAGACUAUAAAAUGCUAAAGGAGGCACGUAAACAAAGUGGAGUUGAUUGGGAUGAAAUUUGGUGCAUGAUACAAGCAGAUGAACGUCUUUGGGAUGAGCUGACGACUGUAAAUGCUUUCCUCCUAAUUUCAGUAUUGGACUAG